rnacentral:rRNA from 1 species
GACGAACGCUGGCGGCGUGCCUAAUACAUGCAAGUAGAACGCUGAAGAGAGGAGCUUGCUCUUCUUGGAUGAGUUGCGAACGGGUGAGUAACGCGUAGGUAACCUGCCUUGUAGCGGGGGAUAACUAUUGGAAACGAUAGCUAAUACCGCAUAACAAUGGAUGACCCAUGUCAUUUAUUUGAAAGGGGCAAAUGCUCCACUACAAGAUGGACCUGCGUUGUAUUAGCUAGUAGGUGAGGUAACGGCUCACCUAGGCGACGAUACAUAGCCGACCUGAGAGGGUGAUCGGCCACACUGGGACUGAGACACGGCCCAGACUCCUACGGGAGGCAGCAGUAGGGAAUCUUCGGCAAUGGGGGCAACCCUGACCGAGCAACGCCGCGUGAGUGAAGAAGGUUUUCGGAUCGUAAAGCUCUGUUGUAAGUCAAGAACGAGUGUGAGAGUGGAAAGUUCACACUGUGACGGUAGCUUACCAGAAAGGGACGGCCAACUACGUGCCAGCAGCCGCGGUAAUACGUAGGUCCCGAGCGUUGUCCGGAUUUAUUGGGCGUAAAGCGAGCGCAGGCGGUUUGAUAAGUCUGAAGUUAAAGGCUGUGGCUCAACCAUAGUUCGCUUUGGAAACUGUCAAACUUGAGUGCAGAAGGGGAGAGUGGAAUUCCAUGUGUAGCGGUGAAAUGCGUAGAUAUAUGGAGGAACACCGGUGGCGAAAGCGGCUCUCUGGUCUGUAACUGACGCUGAGGCUCGAAAGCGUGGGGAGCGAACAGGAUUAGAUACCCUGGUAGUCCACGCCGUAAACGAUGAGUGCUAGGUGUUGGAUCCUUUCCGGGAUUCAGUGCCGCAGCUAACGCAUUAAGCACUCCGCCUGGGGAGUACGACCGCAAGGUUGAAACUCAAAGGAAUUGACGGGGGCCCGCACAAGCGGUGGAGCAUGUGGUUUAAUUCGAAGCAACGCGAAGAACCUUACCAGGUCUUGACAUCCCGAUGCUAUUUCUAGAGAUAGAAAGUUACUUCGGUACAUCGGUGACAGGUGGUGCAUGGUUGUCGUCAGCUCGUGUCGUGAGAUGUUGGGUUAAGUCCCGCAACGAGCGCAACCCCUAUUGUUAGUUGCCAUCAUUCAGUUGGGCACUCUAGCGAGACUGCCGGUAAUAAACCGGAGGAAGGUGGGGAUGACGUCAAAUCAUCAUGCCCCUUAUGACCUGGGCUACACACGUGCUACAAUGGUUGGUACAACGAGUUGCGAGUCGGUGACGGCAAGCUAAUCUCUUAAAGCCAAUCUCAGUUCGGAUUGUAGGCUGCAACUCGCCUACAUGAAGUCGGAAUCGCUAGUAAUCGCGGAUCAGCACGCCGCGGUGAAUACGUUCCCGGGCCU